rnacentral:lncRNA from 1 species
UUGUGAGUUUUAAUUUGUCACACGUUUAAGACAUCCAGUGAUUUUUUUCUUGAAAUUUGUAUUUUAAAUUUGUAAUCAAUGUGUCUAGCUCAUGUUAUUGUUGAUAAAAUAUAUUGUUGCAUAACAUACAUGUAAAUGUAAAUCUUUUUUAUCAUAUAAUGUUGACAGAUAAUUUAAAAUAAAACACCAUCAAUUUAAAUUUAACAUUGAAUUGAGAGAAUUAUGUGAGUACGUGCUGUAUUCAAACUCACUACCUUAGUAAUGACAGGCUAGUGAUACAGUAGUUGAACUACUUAGACCUCUCACCUGCGAAUGGUAUCUAAUACCAUACUUCAAUUUAUCAGCAAUGUUAAAACAAUAUAUUCAAUGAAUAUCUUAUAUGAUAUAAGAAAACUGCUUCUAUUUCAAAAUAACUUAUA